CAGAGACCUCGAGCGUUAUCCGGAAUCAUUGGGCGUAAAGCGUACCGAUAGGUGGUUAAGAAAGUCAGAUGUGAAAUCUCCGAGCUCAACUCGGAAUCUGUCAUUUGAAACUUCUUGACUAGAGGAGCAAAGAGGAAGCUGGAACGAACGGUGUAGUAGUGAAAUGCGUUGAUAUCGUUCGGAACACCAAUAGCGUAGGCAGGCUUCUGGGUGCUACCUGACACUGCUAGGACGAAAGCGUGGGGAGCGAAGGGGAUUAGAUACCCCCGUAGUCCACGCUGUAAACGAUGUACAUUAGGCGCUAGGGAGUAUCGACCCUCUUUAGUGCCAAAGCUAACGCGUUAAAUGUACCGCCUGGGGAGUACGGCCGCAAGGACUA
rnacentral:rRNA from 1 species